CUACGGGGCGCAGCAGUGGGGAAUCUUAGACAAUGGGCGCAAGCCUGAUCUAGCCAUGCCGCGUGAGUGAUGAAGGCCUUAGGGUCGUAAAGCUCUUUCGCCAGAGAUGAUAAUGACAGUAUCUGGUAAAGAAACCCCGGCUAACUCCGUGCCAGCAGCCGCGGUAAUACGGAGGGGGUUAGCGUUGUUCGGAAUUACUGGGCGUAAAGCGGACGUAGGCGGAUUAGAAAGUUAGGGGUGAAAUCCCGGGGCUCAACCUCGGAACUGCCUCUAAAACUCCUAGUCUAGAGUUCGAGAGAGGUGAGUGGAAUUCCAAGUGUAGAGGUGAAAUUCGUAGAUAUUUGGAGGAACACCAGUGGCGAAGGCGGCUCACUGGCUCGAUACUGACGCUGAGGUGCGAAAGUGUGGGGAGCAAACAGGAUUAGAUACCCUAGUAGUC
rnacentral:rRNA from 1 species